GUAGGGAAUCUUCCGCAAUGGACGAAAGUCUGACGGAGCAACGCCGCGUGAGUGAAGAAGGUUUUCGGAUCGUAAAACUCUGUUGUCAGAGAAGAACAAGUUGGAGAGUAACUGCUCCAGCCUUGACGGUAUCUGACCAGAAAGCCACGGCUAACUACGUGCCAGCAGCCGCGGUAAUACGUAGGUGGCAAGCGUUGUCCGGAUUUAUUGGGCGUAAAGCGAGCGCAGGCGGUUCCUUAAGUCUGAUGUGAAAGCCCACGGCUCAACCGUGGAAGGUCAUUGGAAACUGGGGAACUUGAGUGCAGAAGAGGAGAGUGGAAUUCCAUGUGUAGCGGUGAAAUGCGUAGAUAUAUGGAGGAACACCAGUGGCGAAGGCGACUCUCUGGUCUGUAACUGACGCUGAGGCUCGAAAGCGUGGGGAGCAAACAGGAUUAGAAACCCUAGUAGUCC
rnacentral:rRNA from 1 species